AUACGGAGGGUGCAAACGUUGUUCGGAAUCACUGGGCAUAAAGCGCACGUAGGCGGCCAAGUCAGUUCGGUGUGAAAGCCCUCGGCUCAACCGGGGAACUGCAUCGGAUACUGCUUGGCUUGAGGAUGGUUGGGGUGAGUGGAACUCCUGGUGGAGCGGUGAAAUGCGUAGAUAUCAGGAGGAACACCAGUGGCGAAAGCGGCUCACUGGACCAUAUCUGACGCUGAGGUGCGAAAGCUAGGGUAGCGAACGGGAUUAGAAACCCCAGUAGUCC
rnacentral:rRNA from 1 species